rnacentral:rRNA from 1 species
GUCAAAAUGAUUCCCGACAACGGAUAUCUCGGCUCUUGCAUCGAUGAAGAACGUAGCGAAAUGCGAUACUUGGUGUGAAUUGUAGGAUCCCAUGAACCAUCGAGUCUUUGAAUGCUAGUUGCGCCCUCUAAGCCUUCGGACCGAGGGCACUCCUACCUGGGUGCCAUGCAUCGCGUCAC